rnacentral:rRNA from 1 species
CGGCGAGUGAAGCGGCAACAGCUCAAAUUUGAAAUCUGGCCCCCAGGGUCCGAGUUGUAAUUUGUAGAGGAUGCUUUUGGCGCGGUGCCUUCUGAGUUCCCUGGAACGGGACGCCACAGAGGGUGAGAGCCCCGUAUAGUCGGACACCAAGCCUCUGUAAAGCUCCUUCGACGAGUCGAGUAGUUUGGGAAUGCUGCUCAAAAUGGGAGGUAAAUCUCUUCUAAAGCUAAAUACAGGCUAGAGACCGAUAGCGCACAAGUAGAGUGAUCGAAAGAUGAAAAGCACUUUGAAAAGAGGGUUAAAAAGCACGUGAAAUUGUUGAAAGGGAAGCGCUUGUGACCAGACUUGCGCCCGGUUGAUCAUCCAGCGUUCUCGCUGGUGCACUCUGCCGGGCUCAGGCCAGCAUCGGUUCUUGCGGGGGGAUAAAAGCUGUGGGAAUGUAGCUCCCUCGGGAGUGUUAUAGCCCGCUGCAGAAUACCCCCGCGGGGACCGAGGUACGCGUUCCGCAAGGAUGCUGGCGUAAUGGUCACCAGCGACCCGUCUUGAAACACGGACCAAGGAGUCAAGCAUUAGGGCGAGUGUUUGGGUGUCAAACCCGCACGCGAAAUGAAAGUGAACGUAGGUGAGAGCUUCGGCGCAUCAUCGACCGAUCCUGAUGUAUUCGGAUGGAUUUGAGUAAGAGCCUUACCGCUUGGACCCGAAAGAUGGUGAACUAUGCUUGAAUAGGGUGAAGCCAGAGGAAACUCUGGUGGAGGCUCGCAGCGGUUCUGACGUGCAAAUCGAUCGUCAAA